AUUGAACGCUGGCGGCAGGCCUAACACAUGCAAGUCGAACGAGUGGCGGACGGGUGAGUAAUGUCUGGGAUACUGCCUGAUGGAGGGGGAUAACUACUGGAAACGGUAGCUACUACCGCAUACCAGCGGAUGUGCCCAGAUGGGAUGAGCUCGUAGGUGGGGUAAAGGCUCACCUAGGCGACGAUCCCUAGCUGGUCUGAGAGGAUGACCAGCCAAACUGGAACGGAGACACGGGCCAGACUCCUACGGGAGGCAGAAGUGGGGAAUAUUGCACAAUGGGCGCAAGCCGGAUACAGCCAUGCCGCGUGUAUGAAGAAGGCCUUCGGGUUGUAAAGUACUUUCAGCGGGGAGGCGUUACCCGCAGAAGAAGCACCGGCUAACUCCGUGCCAGCAGCCGCGGUAAUUC
rnacentral:rRNA from 1 species